AUAAUGCAAAGGGCCCGAGGCAGCGACCAAUAGGCACCCACGACAGGGCGAUUGGGCGUUCGGACCCGAGGGCCGGCAGGGACGCCCCGCGCCGGAGGCUGUGGUUCUGGAGGCUCUGCGCCCUGACGCGGAACGAGUCCGUGAUGAACGCGGCGCCCGGCCCCAUGUGACGACGGCUGGGAGGCGAUCGGGGAGGGGUCGUCGCACCGCACAGCGGCCGGUCUGAGCGUCAGCGGCGGCGGGUAGCGGGCGUGCCCGGGUCUCGUCACGUGCAGCCGGCACUUGGGACCCCGCCGCGCCCACAGAGUCCGACGGCGGCGUCCGGCUGAGGGACCCGGCUCGGGUCACCUGGCUCCAGGGCUGGUCAGGGAGGCCUGAGCCUAUGAAGCCCGGCCAUGUUCCGUCCCUCUGAUGACCCCCGUCUUUCCACACAUUCCCGUGACUGCAGCGACACUUAUGGACUGUACACAGGGCUGUGUGACCUUUGAGGACGUGGCCGUUUCCUUAUCCUGGGAGGAGUGGGGGCUCCUUGCUGAGGCCCAGAGGCUCCUGUACCGCGAGUUACCUGUGAUGAACUGCAGUUUGGAAGCAGACGAUCCUCCUCUGACCUAUUAUUAGAAGGUCAGCAGUAGCCUAACACUACCGCAUAAUCCUUAUGUCAUUCCCCUCACUUCAUCUCAUCACGUAGGAUUUUAUCAUCUCAUCACAAGAAGAAGGUUUCUUGGCAUGGAAUAGAGAAUGAAGAGACACCUUUUGAACAGAAUGUGUCUAUACAAGCUUUGUCACAGGUCGGGAUUCCAAAGCUCUAAGCAGCUUCUGUGAGGGAGCCAUCUACCUGAAGUGGAGCCUCAUACUUCAAAAAACGUCUCGAGGGAUGAAGUUACGCAUGUGUUCCAGGCAUAUGUGAGGCUUACCGGAGCUGUAUUGCACAUCAUGAACCCCACAGGGCUCUUGCCAGGCUUCUGUCACUGCCAGUCUUGCUGGUAGAAGCUAUCUCACCUCGACCACCUUGCAUAGUGGGCAUCAGUCACCGUGAUGUGCUAAGGCAAGGCAGACAUCUGUGUUCUCACCCAAUCUCUAGUGGAAAUCUUGAGUAGUCUGUGACCUAACAGUAAUUUCCCUUUCCUUAUUCAGGACGAAUACGAUCCAGUUUGGGCUACAAGUGGGCUCUGGUAGAGGCUUGCCCAGAGGGCGUUCUGCACGGAAUUGGAAAUUGUUGAUUUCACAUAGCACUUGUAUUUGAUUUUUCUAGCCUCCAAGUCACCAACUGGUAACUGUGUGCCUCACAUCGCUCUGGGCUCAUGCAGUAAUAAAUGUCUUAUUUAAUCUGCCUUUAAUCUUGGGGGUGGUAUUUACUGCUUUAGGUGGGUGAAAAACAUAAAUGGGCUCUGUUUAUAUGAGGGGAAGGACAGCUUUUGUGGGGGCCCCAAGUUUGCACAUCAGCAGGAGCUGCAUGACAGCUCUCAUUCCAGUUUUGGCCUAAUUUGCAUUGCUGCCAAAGACCUAGGAUGGUUCUCAUUUGUGGCCUGGAUGCCUCCAUAUAUUGUGAGACCAAAGGUCACCCUUCGGAGGUGUCACUUGUUUUGGCAGCUCGAGCGCCUUUGGGAAUGUCAUGAAGUUGUUGUCUUGUUCCCAGAGAGUGUCACAUAGUGCCCAGUACUGGAGGGGAAGCUGUUCACCAGGUCCUACAAAGGAGCCAAGUGUCCUGACGGGCAUAAUUCCGUAGAGUGGUAUUGCCCCUCAUAGUAUGAGAGCCAGGUUUCAACUAUAAUUGGUACUGGAAUCCUGGGUGUGAUUAGUAAACAGUGGAGGAGCCUGCAGCAAAUUAGAUGGGAUGUGCCUCUUCUGAGUACAUCUGUAGAUGUCCCCGUGGCUUUGGCUGCGCGUAAUCACAGGACCCUCAGAGCUGUGAACUCUUGAGUGCAGGAGUGCAGUUGAAGUCAUUGUCACAGAAAUGUGAAUUCCCACUCUUUCUGGGCUGUUCAUUUUAAACCCAUUGCUGUGAACACAGAGGAAUAUGGGCAGAGAAUAGAGAGCUUGUUGUGCAGGGGUGUGGCUUUUCUGAUCCAGCCAGUGUUUUUCAUGUGCCAAAUUGGAACAGCUUUCAUUGCUUGCCAUCCUCUGCACUGAUUCAGGGCUACCCUUACCAGGGAAUAAGGAAAAAUAGAGUGGAGUUAGUAUUGGGUUGUGAAACCUAGUUUCCAAAAGGAGUGGGAGAUUCAGAUUUUUUAAUUUGAACUAUUUUUCAGAUACAUUAUUGACAUACAUAUUUAAGGUAGACAAUUUGAAAAAUGUUGCCACACAUAUAAACCUGUUGAAACAGUCAUAAUCUUGAUAAUGAAUAUAUCCAUUAUUUAUACCUCAUGCCCUUUUAUAUUCUCUCUGUCCUCUCCAGUCCUACAGGAGUCCAGUGGUUUACUUUCUUUAACAAUAAAUUUGUUUGCAGGGUCUAGAAUUUUACAUGAAUCGAAUCACAGUGUUUUUACUUUUUUCUGAUAUUUUUUACACUAAUUAGAGAUUAUUGAUGUUGCUUAUAUGAGUAGUUCAUUAUUUUACUGUCGAGUAAUGUUCUUCUCUGUGCUUGUGCCACUAUUGGUUUACCUGCUCAUCUGUUAAGGAGAAUUUGGGUUGUUUCAUUUGGUUUUGUUAGAAAUAAAGCUGCAGUGAAUGUAGGCAUAUAAUUCUCUAUAUGAAUUUCUCUUCUGCCAAUACUUUAUAGAGUUGGUGGAUGUAUGAGAAUUGAAGAAACUGCCCAACUGUGCUCUAAGCUGCCUGUGCUCAUCUGUGUUCCCACCAGCAGUUUAUGAGAACUCGUGUUCAUCCACCAUGUGCCAAUGCCUGGUUGGUGGUUUUGCUAUUCUUUUUCAUUUUAGCUGUUUUCAUAGGGGUGCAAUAGCAUCUCCAUGUGGUUUGAAUUGCAGUUCUGUGAUGUUUUGUGAAGUUUAGCUUUUUUGAUGUUUUCAUCUGCUACUUGUUUAGCUUGUUUAAUAAAAUGAUCAUUAAUACCAUUUGCUUAUUUUAAAAUAGAUGUUGGGUGACAUUUUCCCUUUCACUAAUGAAGACAUAUGUAACAAAGCCAUAUGUUGAAACUCCAGUUAUCCUUCAGCAGUGAUGUGUCAUCUUUGCUAAAUGGAAGCAUUAUUUUUGAAUACUGUAAGAAUAUUUUCUCAUUUUCUGGUGCUAUUCACAGUAUAACAUUCAGAGGCUACAUGCUUUUUACCAUAAUCUACAGUUAACUUACUGACCAUCACUUUCUUAAAUCCAGCCGUCCAGGAAAAUAAUCUGUGUUGUAGUGUUUGUGAAUUUCUGCAGUGUACAUACUCCCAUCCUAGCCAAUUUGAAGUUGGACUGAACAUGGAUUUGGGAAGAGGUGUGCAGUGGGACACUUCUGUUCCCACCCUUCUGCUACCAUAGCAACAGAUAACCUCAGCAAUAGAAAGAAGAGUACAACACUGUAAAGUAAUUUGGAAGUGACAACCUUUGAGUACUUAUUACAUCUACUUUAAAAAGUAGUUUUAUUGAAGUGUAAUAGUCUUAUAAUAAAUUCUGCACAUUUAAAAUAUA